GAGAAAAUUCGUGCAAUUAUAGAUGAUAUGAAAGCCGACUUGUCCAGAGAGAAGAAAAACCGACAGAGGCUGGAAAUAGUUAACUCCAAGUUAGUUAAUGAGUUGGCUGAUGCCAAGUUAUCAGCAAAGCGCUAUUUGCAGGAUUACGAAAAAGAAAGAAAGGGUAGAGAGUUGAUAGAGGAAGUGUGUGAAGAAUUAGCCAA
rnacentral:misc_RNA from 1 species